UCAGGAAAACCAAAGCCAGCUCUGCACUGAACUGCGUUUUUAUAGCUGCCAUAGUAGUCUAGUGCGCUGUUUACCCGACCAGACAGACACCACAAAACCGGCCAAGCGUGAAGU
ensembl:misc_RNA